GUCGAGGGGCAGCAUGGUCUUAGCUUGCUAAGGCCGAUGGCGACCGGCGCACGGGUGAGUAACACGUAUCCAACCUGCCGUCUACUCUUGGACAGCCUUCUGAAAGGAAGAUUAAUACAAGAUGGCAUCAUGAGUCCGCAUGUUCACAUGAUUAAAGGUAUUCCGGUAGACGAUGGGGAUGCGUUCCAUUAGAUAGUAGGCGGGGUAACGGCCCACCUAGUCUUCGAUGGAUAGGGGUUCUGAGAGGAAGGUCCCCCACAUUGGAACUGAGACACGGUCCAAACUCCUACGGGAGGCAGCAGUGAGGAAUAUUGGUCAAUGGGCGAGAGCCUGAACCAGCCAAGUAGCGUGAAGGAUGACUGCCCUAUGGGUUGUAAACUUCUUUUAUAAAGGAAUAAAGUCGGGUAUGGAUACCCGUUUGCAUGUACUUUAUGAAUAAGGAUCGGCUAACUCCGUGCCAGCAGCCGCGGUAAUACGGAGGAUCCGAGCGUUAUCCGGAUUUAUUGGGUUUAAAGGGAGCGUAGAUGGAUGUUUAAGUCAGUUGUGAAAGUUUGCGGCUCAACCGUAAAAUUGCAGUUGAUACUGGAUAUCUUGAGUGCAGUUGAGGCAGGCGGAAUUCGUGGUGUAGCGGUGAAAUGCUUAGAUAUCACGAAGAACUCCGAUUGCGAAGGCAGCCUGCUAAGCUGCAACUGACAUUGAGGCUCGAAAGUGUGGGUAUCAAACAGGAUUAGAUACCCUGGUAGUCCACACGGUAAACGAUGAAUACUCGCUGUUUGCGAUAUACUGCAAGCGGCCAAGCGAAAGCGUUAAGUAUUCCACCUGGGGAGUACGCCGGCAACGGUGAAACUCAAAGGAAUUGACGGGGGCCCGCACAAGCGGAGGAACAUGUGGUUUAAUUCGAUGAUACGCGAGGAACCUUACCCGGGCUUAAAUUGCAGAUGAAUUACGGUGAAAGCCGUAAGCCGCAAGGCAUCUGUGAAGUGCUGCAUGGUUGU
rnacentral:rRNA from 1 species